rnacentral:tRNA from 8 species
CGGAUGUAGCCAAGUGGAUCAAGGCAGUGGAUUGUGA